rnacentral:sRNA from 1 species
UGGAGGGGACAACUCGUCCAGGUUUUGGGCAUGGAGAAGAGGCAAAAGAUUCAAGUUUUUCAGAGGGAGCUCCCUCUCUGCUUGGAACUUGUCAAACAACUGCCCAGGUACUACGGAGAACACAGAUCCUAUUCAAAUUUCAGCUUAAUUUUUGUGUUCUGAGUCGGAAAGUUCGUUUCUUUUGCUUGAAUUGUUCUGCCCUUCAAUCGCCACCCUUCCCGAUAAUGGCGUGGACUCCGACGAAUCAGACGACGACCACAUGAUUGAGGAGUGGAUGGUCAGUGAAGCAAGCCCUAGAAGAUUUUCACUCUGGAAAGGAAGGAUUCCGGGUCGGAUCUCACCAAGCUUCUAUCCGACUGAUCACUGCAUUCAAGGACAAUGCUCAGUACAGGGAUGACAUCAGAUUUCUUAAGAUUUGGUUCCUUUAU